GAUGAAGAACGCAGUGAAAUGCGAUAAGUAAUGUGAAUUGCAGAAUUCAGUGAAACAUCGAAUCUUUGAACGCACCUUGCGCUCCUUGGUAUUCCGAGGAGCAUGCCUGUUUGAGUGUCAUGAAAUUCUCAACCUUUUCAGCUUUCUUUGUUGAUCAGGCUUGGAUGUGGGAGUAUGCGGGCUUCUCAGAAGUCGGCUCUCCUGAAAUGCAUUAGCGGGACCUUUGUUGCCUGGCUUUGGUGUGAUAAUUAUCUACGCCAUUGUAGUCAAGGAGCUUAAAAUGAGGUUUCAGCUUCUAACCGUCUCCCCUGAGACAACUUUUUGACAAUUUGACCUCAAAUCAGGUAGGACUACCCGCUGAACUUAAGCAUAUCAAUAAGCGGAGGA
rnacentral:misc_RNA from 1 species